UACGUAGGGGGCAAGCGUUGUCCGGAAUCAUUGGGCGUAAAGAGCGUGUAGGCGGCCCGGUAAGUCCGCUGUGAAAGUCCAGGGCUCAACCCUGGGAUGCCGGUGGAUACUGCUGGACUAGAGUGCGGAAGAGGCGAGUGGAAUUCCCGGUGUAGCGGUGAAAUGCGCAGAUAUCGGGAGGAACACCAAUUGCGAAGGCAGCUCGCUGGGACGUUACUGACGCUGAGACGCGAAAGCGUGGGGAGCAAACAGG
rnacentral:rRNA from 1 species